AAGAUACGACGGCAGUGAGUUUGAUCCUGGCUCAGGAUGAACGCUGGCGGUCUGCUUAACACAUGCAAGUCGAACGGGUACUUCGGUACUAGUGGCGGACGGGUGAGUAACGCGUGAGAAUCUAGCUUCAGAAUGGGGACAACAGAGGGAAACCGCUGCUAAUACCCGAUGUGCCGAAAGGUGAAAGAUUUAUCGUCUGAAGAUGAGCUCGCGUCCGAUUAGCUAGUUGGUAGGGUAAGAGCCUACCAAGGCGACGAUCGGUAGCUGGUCUGAGAGGAUGACCAGCCACACUGGGACUGAGACACGGCCCAGACUCCUACGGGAGGCAGCAGUGGGGAAUUUUCCGCAAUGGGCGAAAGCCUGACGGAGCAAGACCGCGUGAGGGAGGAAGGCUCUUGGGUUGUAAACCUCUUUUCUCUGGGAAGAAGCUCUGACGGUACCAGAGGAAUUAGCAUCGGCUAACUCCGUGCCAGCAGCCGCGGUAAUACGGAGGAUGCAAGCGUUAUCCGGAAUUAUUGGGCGUAAAGCGUCCGUAGGUGGCAAUUCAAGUCUGCCGUUAAAACCAGUGGCUUAACCACUGACAGGCGGUGGAAACUGAAUAGCUAGAGUGUGGUAGGGGCAGAGGGAAUUCCCAGUGUAGCGGUGAAAUGCGUAGAGAUUGGGAAGAACACCGGUGGCGAAAGCGCUCUGCUGGACCACAACUGACACUCACAGGACGAAAGCUAGGGGAGCGAAAGGGAUUAGAUACCCCUGUAGUCCUAGCCGUAAACGAUGGAUACUAGGUGUUGUGAGUAUCGACCCUCACAGUGCCGUAGCCAACGCGUUAAGUAUCCCGCCUGGGGAGUACGCACGCAAGUGUGAAACUCAAAGGAAUUGACGGGGGCCCGCACAAGCGGUGGAGUAUGUGGUUA
rnacentral:rRNA from 1 species